rnacentral:rRNA from 1 species
GCUCAGGAUGAACGCUAGCGGCAGGCUUAAUACAUGCAAGUCGAACGGUAAGGUCUCUUCGGAGAUACACGAGUGGCGCACGGGUGCGUAACGCGUAUGCAACCUACCUUUAACUGGGAAAUAGCCCCGAGAAAUCGGGAUUAAUGUCCCAUACUAUUCUGAGAAUGCAUAUUCUUAGAAUGAAAGCUCCGGCGGUUAUUGAUGGGCAUGCGUGACAUUAGCUAGUUGGUGAGGUAACGGCCCACCAAGGCUACGAUGUCUAGGGGUCCUGAGAGGGUUAACCCCCACACUGGUACUGAGACACGGACCAGACUCCUACGGGAGGCAGCAGUAAGGAAUAUUGGGCAAUGGACGCAAGUCUGACCCAGCCAUGCCGCGUGAAGGAUGAAUGUCCUAUGGAUUGUAAACUUCUUUUAUGCAGGAAAAACAUCCCGGUCGUGAACCGGGACUGAUGGUACUGUAUGAAUAAGCAUCGGCUAACUCCGUGCCAGCAGCCGCGGUAAUACGGAGGAUGCAAGCGUUAUCCGGAUUCAUUGGGUUUAAAGGGUGCGCAGGCGGAAUAAUAAGUCAGUGGUGAAAUCUCCCGGCUCAACCGGGAAACUGCCAUUGAUACUGUUGUUCUUGAGUACAGUUGAAGUGGGCGGAAUGUGUCAUGUAGCGGUGAAAUGCUUAGAUAUGACACAGAACACCGAUAGCGAAGGCAGCUCACUAAGCUGUAACUGACGCUCAUGCACGAAAGCGUGGGGAUCAAACAGGAUUAGAUACCCUGGUAGUCCACGCUGUAAACGAUGAUCACUCGUUGUUAGCGAUAUACUGUUAGCGACUGAGGGAAACCAUUAAGUGAUCCACCUGGGGAGUACGGCGGCAACGUUGAAACUCAAAU